GCAGUGUCUGAGAAAAGAAAAAUACCCCCUGUGCUUGCCUGGGACCUUGUCCUGCCACACUCCAGCCGUGCUGCUUUUGGCCCCACAUGUCCCCAGCAGAGGCCAGGGCUGGUUGUGUGUUCCUGCCUCGUGUGCUCUUGGAGCAGCCCCGUUUGCAUGGAGCCACGGGAAGCACGGAUUUGUCUAUGGCUCCACCGUGCUGAGCAGGGCCCUGGCUCUGUCCGUGUGUGUCCCUCAGCGGGAGGGAAUUUGCUGCCUCUGCCAGGGACAGCGAGCACUGCUCUGGCCCUGAACAGCAGAGAGCAGCAGCUUCCCAGGCUCACAAACAGCCUGAGUGCAGCCGAGUGGGGCCGGCAGCUGCCCGCUGCAGGUGGGUGCGGGCUGGAUCUGCUUCCCAAGCGGUGUCGCUGCUGUGUGCGAUGGGACACAGCUGUCUCUUGUGCCUGGCCGUGCCCAAGGUCCUUGUGUCGCUGAUUGUGCUGGUGCCGAGAGAGGCGGGGGCUGAGGGCGGCCGGGGCGGAGCUGGCGGCGUUGCAGAGGAGGCGGCACGGGCGCAGCAGAGCCGGGGCUGAGGGGCACAGCGAGGCUCGGCCGGCGGAGCGGCGGCAUGCGGCGGUGUCGGGGCGCGGGGCUGGCGGCGCUGGCCGUGCUGCUGCUCGUGGCUGCAGUCAGAGCCCAGAUACAGCAAGAGCCAUUCCUGGAGAUUGUCGAGGGCAGCAGCAUCACCAUCAAGUGCUCACACCCCAAUAUCCGGACAGGCGAUUUCAUCCACUUCUACCGUCAGCUGCCAGGCCAAAGGCCUGAACUCGUGGCGGUCACUGCUAAAGCACCCAAGGAGGGAAGUAAAGGGAAUGGAGAAAGUGAUGAACAAAGCACACCUAUGUGGCAGAAGGUGUUCAGGGACGGAGGAGGGAGAUUGGAGAUCUCCAGCCUCUAAUUGAUGGGCCAUUAGGGAACAGCGGCUGUGGUUGUGAAUUGGCGCAGACUGAGCUUUGUCAGUGACAAAGGGUAAACAGAUGAUGAGAGAGGACAUGGAAUCCUCAGGAAAGGAGAGACUGAGAGUGAUGUGUCUCUGGGAUCAGCAAGGAUGGCUGCAGGUUUCUCUUUUCAGCACAAAUGCUGGGAAGAAUCCUCAUCUCCCUGUACAUGUCUGACCAUCUUUUCUCUGCUGUGAAGCCUAAGAAGGUACAACCAACAAAGGAGCCCAUAGAAUGAAAAGCUUUUACCUUGAAAAUGGUGACAACGACAGGAACCAACACUUCCCUAACAACCUCCUUCAAAUCCAUGGGGAAGUGUAACACUUGCAUGAGAAUGUUCCUGUUACAACCAUUAUAAUUACCUGCAACAUGGCUCACAUCAUUCCAGAAAGUUUUUUUUUUUUGUGAAAAUCCCAAUUAAAGAUAAAACCAAAAUGA